rnacentral:rRNA from 1 species
GCUAUACAUGCAGUCGAGCGAAUGGAUUAAGAGCUUGCUCUUAUAGAAGUUAGCGGCGGACGGGUGAGUAACACGUGGGUAACCUGCCCAUAAGACUGGGAUAACUCCGGGAAACCGGGGCUAAUACCGGAUAACAUUUUGAACCGCAUGGUUCGAAAUUGAAAGGCGGCUUCGGCUGUCACUUAUGGAUGGACCCGCGUCGCAUUAGCUAGUUGGUGAGGUAACGGCUCACCAAGGCAACGAUGCGUAGCCGACCUGAGAGGGUGAUCGGCCACACUGGGACUGAGACACGGCCCAGACUCCUACGGGAGGCAGCAGUAGGGAAUCUUCCGCAAUGGACGAAAGUCUGACGGAGCAACGCCGCGUGAGUGAUGAAGGCUUUCGGGUCGUAAAACUCUGUUGUUAGGGAAGAACAAGUGCUAGUUGAAUAAGCUGGCACCUUGACGGUACCUAACCAGAAAGCCACGGCUAACUACGUGCCAGCAGCCGCGGUAAUACGUAGGUGGCAAGCGUUAUCCGGAAUUAUUGGGCGUAAAGCUCGCGCAGGUGGUUUCUUAAGUCUGAUGUGAAAGUCCNCGGCACAAU